rnacentral:tRNA from 1 species
GUUUUCGUAGCUUAAUUUAUUUAAAAGCACGGCCCUGAAGUUGCCGCGAUGGAUUAACAACAUUCCCAAAAACA